rnacentral:rRNA from 1 species
AGUGAACGCUGGCGGUGUGCUUAACACAUGCAAGUCGAACGAGAACGGACUAAAGUUUACUUUAGUUGUCAGCUAAGUGGCGCACGGGUGAGUAAUGUAUAGCUAAUCUGCCCUUUAGAAGGGAAUAACUGCGGGAAACUGCAGCUAAUACCCUAUACUCCGUUUUGGCUCAAGUCAAAACGGGAAAUGUUUUUCGCUAAAGGAUGAGGCUAUAUCCUAUCAGCUUGUUGGUGAGGUAAAAGCUCACCAAGGCUAUGACGGGUAGCUGGUCUGAGAGGAUGAUCAGCCACACUGGAACUGAGACACGGUCCAGACUCCUACGGAGGCAGCAGUAGGGAAUAUUGCACAAUGGGCAAAGCCUGAUGCAGCAAUGCCGCGUGGAGGACGACGCAUUUAGGUGUGUAAACUCCUUUUAUAUGAGAAGAUAAUGACGGUAUCAUAUGAAUAAGCACCGGCUAACUCCGUG